GACGAACGCUGGCGGCGUGCUUAACACAUGCAAGUCGAACGGAAAGGCCCUGCUCGGGUGGGGUGCUCGAGGGGCGAACGGGUGUAUAACACGUGUAUAACGUGCCCUUGACUGGGGGAAAUCUUGAGGAAAGUGGGGCUAACACCGGAGAGGCGCCCGCGCUGCGGGGGGGGGGGGGGAGAGUUUCGGCGGUGGGGGGUGGACGCGGGGUUUUUCAGCUUGUUGGUGGGGGAGUGGCUUACAAAGGCUUUGGCGGGUAGCGGGCCAGAGGGGGGCACCGGCAACAUUGGAACUGGGAUACGGCCCAGACCCCUACGGGGGGAAGCGGUGGGAAAUAUUGCACAAUGGGCGGAAGCCUGAUGCAGCAACGCCGGGUGCGGGAGGACGGCUUUGGGGUGGAAAACGCCUUUGGCCUGUACGGAAGCGUGUGUGACGGUAAUGGGUAAAGAAGCACCGGCUAACUACGUG
rnacentral:rRNA from 1 species